AACGCGAAGAACCUUACCUGGGUUUGACAUCCCCGGACAACCCUAGAGAUAGGGCUUCCCCUUCGGGGGCCGGGAGACAGGUGCUGCAUGGCUGUCGUCAGCUCGUAUCGUGAGAUGUCGGGUUAAGUCCCUUAACGAGCGCAACCCUUAUCCCUAGUUGCCACCAUUCAGUUGGGCACUCUAAGGAGACUGCCGGUGUUAAGCCGGAGGAAGGUGGGGAUGACGUCAAGUCCUCAUGGCCUUUAUAUCCAGGGCAACACACGUGCUACAAUGGCCGGUACAGAGGGUCGCCAACCCGUGAGGGGGAGCUAAUCUCAGAAAGCCGGUCUCAGUUCGGAUUGAAGUCUGCAACUCGACUUCAUGAAGCUGGAAUCGCUAGUAAUCGCAGAUCAGAACGCUGCGGUGAAUACGUUCCCGGGCCUUGUACACACCGUACGUC
rnacentral:rRNA from 1 species